UAAUACGAGGGGUGCAAGCGUUGCUCGGAAUUAUUGGGCGUAAAGGGUAGGUAGGUGGUCUUAUUUGUCUGGGGUGAAAUCCUUGAGCUUAACUCAAGAAGUGCCCUAGAAACGGUAAGACUAGAGUCCUGGAGAGGGUCGUGGAAUUCCCGGUGUAGCGGUGAAAUGCGUAGAGAUCGGGAGGAACACCAGAGGCGAAGGCGGCGACCUGGACAGGUACUGACACUCAACUACGAAAGCGUGGGGAGCAAACAGG
rnacentral:rRNA from 1 species